rnacentral:rRNA from 1 species
UUCGGACAAUGGAUGUAGAGGAAAGUGGCGGACGGGUGAGUAACGCGUGAGGAACCUGCCUUUCAGAGGGGGACAACAGUUGGAAACGACUGCUAAUACCGCAUAAGCCCACAGCUCGGCAUCGAGCAGAGGGAAAAGGAGUGAUCCGCUUUGAGAUGGCCUCGCGUCUGAUUAGCUAGUUGGUGAGGUAACGGCCCACCAAGGCGACGAUCAGUAGCCGGACUGAGAGGUUGACCGGCCACAUUGGGACUGAGAUACGGCCCAGACUCC